rnacentral:rRNA from 1 species
GACGGACGCUGGCGGCGUGCUUAACACAUGCAAGUCGAACGGAAAGGCCCUGCUUUUGUGGGGUGCUCGAGUGGCGAACGGGUGAGUAACACGUGAGUAACCUGCCCUUGACUUUGGGAUAACUUCAGGAAACUGGGGCUAAUACCGGAUAGGAGCUCCUGCUGCAUGGUGGGGGUUGGAAAGUUUCGGCGGUUGGGGAUGGACUCGCGGCUUAUCAGCUUGUUGGCGGGGUAGUGGCUUACCAAGGCUUUGACGGGUAGCCGGCCUGAGAGGGUGACCGGCCACAUUGGGACUGAGAUACGGCCCAGACUCCUACGGGAGGCAGCAGUGGGGAAUAUUGCACAAUGGGCGGAAGCCUGAUGCAGCAACGCCGCGUGCGGGAUGACGGCCUUCGGGUUGUAAACCGCUUUCGCCUGUGACGAAGCGUGGGUGACGGUAAUGGGUAAAGAAGCACCGGCUAACUACGUG